AUAUAUAUAUAUAUAAUAUUUAAUAUAUUAUUAAAAAUAAAUUUUAUAAAAAUUUAAUUAUAUUUAAAUUAGAAAUUAAUUUUAUUUAUAUUAAUUAAAAUUAUAUAUAGAAAUUUAAUUUAAGUAAAAGUUAAUUAAGUGCCAGCAUCUGCGGUUAAACUUUUUUUAUUAGUUAAUUUUUAAAAAUUUUAAAUAUUUAAAUUUAUAAAAUUAAUUUAAAUUAAUUUUUUUUUAGUGAAAUAUUUAAUAAAAUUAAUUAAUUUAAUUUUUAGAAUAAUUAAUUUAUAAAAGUUUAUAUGUAAACUAGGAUUAGAUACCCUAUUAUUAAAAAUUAAAAUAAAAUUAUUUUAAAAUUAAAUGUAAAUCAUUAAAGUUAAAUAAUUUGGCGGUUAAAUAUAUUCAUAUUAGGGGAACUUGUAAAUUUAUUUGAUAAUCCACGAUAAGAUUUACUAUAAAUUAAGAUUAUGUAUUGUCGUUUAUUAAUGAAUUUAAAUUUAAUUUUAAUUUUAUAAUACAUUUAAUUAUUUUGAUUUUUAAUAAUUAUGUAGAAAUUCAGAUCAAAAUAUAUUUUUUUAUAGGUUAUAUGAGUUACAUUAAAUUAAAUUUAAUUUGAAUUAUAAAUUUUAAUAUUUAUAUGAAAUAGAAUUUAAUAGUAAAUUUAAAUAAAAUUUUAUUUAUUGAAAUAGUUUUAUUUAAUGUACAAAUCGCCCGUCACCUUCAUAAAAAAUGGAGAAAGUCGUAACAAAGUAAGUGUAUUGGAAAAUGU
rnacentral:ncRNA from 1 species